rnacentral:snRNA from 2 species
GUCUCUUCGGCGACAUCCGAUAAAAUUGGAACGAUACAGAGAAGAUUAGCAUGGUCGCUGCGCAAGGAUGACACGCACAAAUGGAGAAAUGGUUCAAAUUUUU